CACGUAGGGCGCAAGCGUUUGUCCGGAAUUAUUGGGCGUAAAGAGCUCGUAGGCGGUCUGUUGCGUCUGCUGUGAAAACCUAGGGCUUAACCCUGGGCUUGCAGUGGAUACGGGCAGACUAGAGGUAGGUAGGGGAGAAUGGAAUUCCGGGUGUAGUGGUGAAAUGCGUAGAGAUCCGGAGGAACCCCAGAGGCGAAGGCGGCGUCCUGGCUCGCAUCUGACGCUCAGACACGACAGCAUGGGGAGCGAACGGG
rnacentral:rRNA from 1 species